UGCGUAGGUGGCAAGCGUUGUCCGGAUUUAUUGGGUUUAAAGGGUGCGUAGGCGGCCCUGUAAGUCAGUGCUGAAAUAUCCCGGCUUAACCGGGAGGGUGGCAUUGAUACUGCGGGGCUAGAGUACAGAUGAGGUAGGCGGAAUUGACGGUGUAGCGGUGAAAUGCUUAGAUAUCGUCAAGAACACCUAUAGCGAAGGCAGCUUACUAGGCUGUAACUGACGCUGAGGCACGAAAGUGUGGGGAGCAAACGGG
rnacentral:rRNA from 1 species